AGAAGUAAAAGUCGAACAAGGUUUCCGUAGGUGAACCUGCGGAAGGAUCAUUAUUGAAAUAAACCUGAUGGGUUGUUGCUGGUUCUCUCGGGAGCAUGUGCACGCCUUGUCAUCUUUAUAUCUCCACCUGUGCACCUUUUGUAGACCUUACAAGGUCUAUGUUGCUUCAUUUACCCCAAUGUAUGUUGAUAGAAUGUCGUCCUAUAAAAUAUAUACAACUUUCAGCAACGGAUCUCUUGGCUCUCGCAUCGAUGAAGAACGCAGCGAAAUGCGAUAAGUAAUGUGAAUUGCAGAAUUCAGUGAAUCAUCGAAUCUUUGAACGCACCUUGCGCUCCUUGGUAUUCCGAGGAGCAUGCCUGUUUGAGUGUCAUUAAUAUAUAUCAACCCUUCUCUUGUUGAAUGGUUUGGAUGUGGGGGUUUGCUGGUCUCUUAUAUAGGGUUCAGCUCCCCUGAAAUGCAUUAGCAGAAUAACCUGUUCAUUGGUGUGAUAACUAUCUACGCUUUUGAAUGUAAAGGGACAGUUCAGCUUUCUAACCGUCUUUGGACAAUCUAUCAUUUAUGUGACCUCAAAUCAGGUAGGACUACCCGCUGAACUUAAGCAUAU
rnacentral:rRNA from 1 species